GUUCUAGGCUUUAGCGUGAUGUCACCUGAGGCUGAGAGCCUGAGAUAUGACGAAGAGAAAACAAAGGCUUGCUUACAUUUAGACCACAUAAUGAUAUGUCAGUCGUAUACUAAAAACAUAAAACCAGAAACCUUGUAUUCUAAACAGAUACUUCAUAUCCAACUCCAUUUCUGGAAUUCUGGACCUAUUUUCAUGCUCUUUUUUCACCUUUUAUAGGUUUUUUCCAACAAGAUGGGAAUCAGUAAUCUGUGUCGAAUUCUAUGUAUUUGGGCACUAAUGAAUUCCUGUUUGCUGCCUCUGUCAACUUCUGGGUUUGUCAGGAUAAGUCUUAAAAGGGUUCAUCAGACUACACUUCAUAAUGCUAUCAGAUCUGCUAAGAAGUUGGGCAUACAUGAAGCCGAUUUUAAAGGGCUUUUUGCACGUGCUGCUGAAAAGCAUACAGAAAAUAUAUAUUUGAAGAAUUAUAUGAAUACACAAUUUGUUGGAGAGAUUGGAAUUGGCACACCCGCACAGAAAUUUUCUGUUAUUUUUGAUACUGCUAUUACUUAUGUUUGGAUUCCUUCUUCUAAAUGCAACUCAUCUAAAGCUUGUGAAUUUCACUCCAAGUACAACUCAAGCAAUUCAAGUACAUACACCAAGAUAGGAACUCCACAUGAAAUUAUUUAUGGAACAGAAGCUAAGAUCAGUGGCAUACUCAGCCAAGAUUAUGUUCAAGUUGGAGGUUUACAUGUUAAGGAUCAAUUAUUGUUUGAAGCAAUUGUUGAAGAGAGCCAAACAUUGAUCCUUGCUAAAUUUGAUGGAGUAGUAGGGCUUGCAUAUCCUGACAAAUCAAACGGUCUGGCUCCUCUAAUAUGGAACACAAUGGCAGAACAAGGAUUGUUAAGAAAGAAUAUGUUCUCUAUCUGGUUCAAUCCAAACCCAGAAGCAGAAAUUGGUGGAGAAAUAGUAUUUGGAGGAGUGGAUCCUAAUCAUUUCAAAGGAGAACAUACUUAUGUUCCUGUCACCCCAAAUCAGAAUGGUAUUUGGCAGAUUGAAAUUGGAGAGUUCUUCAUUGGUGAACAUUCAUCUGGUUACUGUCAGGAGGGCUGUGCAGCUGUUUUAGACUCAGGAUCCCCAUUACUUUCUGGCCCCACAGCUAUUGUUAUUGAGAUCAACCAUGCAAUUGGAGGUAAAAGAGUCAAAAGCAUGGAAUGUAAAGAAGUUGUUUUUCAGUAUGGAGAAGCGAUACACGCUCUUUUGGCCUCAGGGAUAAAUCCUGAUAAAAUAUGUUCCAAACUCAGCUUGUGCAGCAUCAAUAAGGCUCAAUAUAUGAGGAAUGAUCUAAACACAGUUCAAAAAACAGAAAACAGAAAAGAACUUGCAUCUGUUGCUGAUGAACAAUUAUGUAAUGUCUGUAAGAUAACAGUGAUUUGGAUCCAGAAUCAAAUGAAGCAAGAGAAAUCCGUGAAUGAAAUACUCGACUAUAUCAGCAAGCUAUGCUAUAACUUUCCAGCUCCUGAAGGAAACAUAGUAGUCCCCUGUGAUCAUCUAUCUCACAUGCCGAAUUUGACACUCACAAUCGGAAACAGACCUUUCACAUUCACUCCUAAACAGUAUAUUCAUAGAAGUGAGGAACACGAUAAAAUGGUAUGCCGAAGCCAGUUUUAUGCAGUGGAUCUGCAAAAUCCUCCAGGCUCGUGGAUUUUCGGAAAUACUUUUAUGGGUGUGUUCCAUUCUGUUUUUGAUUUUGGCAAGCAACGAGUGGGCUUUGCUGAUGGAGCUUAGUUAGCUUGAACGAGAACAGGAUUGCUCGAGCUCUUGAGUUUUAAGUUUUGGAGCAACAAUGUCGAUACAAUUGUAUGUAACAACCGGAAAGCCAAAACAAGAAAGAGCACAAGAUACUAAAACUGAUUCACAUAAUCUGGACUAGAAAACAGUUUCGUAGACUCGCAUAGCCGUGUAAUUAGCUUCAUUCCCCUUAAAAAUUUAAUCAUCGCGAGUCAUGAUUGAUGCCAAAGAUGGAGGCCACUGGAGCUUUUGGCCCCUUAGCAUCAGCCUUAGCACUUAGCAGAAGCACCAAAUGAGGUAGAUAAAGGAAGGCAGAAACACUAGCCAUUGAGGCUGAGAGAAUUUUCUUGGACGACCAGAACGUGAGAUGUUCACACAUUUCUGAUAGUAGUCAAUCCUAACUUCCCAAGCUUUUCAAUAAUGCACAUCAUAUUGCUUUUUGUUGUGAUUAGUGUGACUUGAGUGCACAAUAAAAGUGUGUAUUCAUGUGUGUGACUUUUGGUUUGUGGAAUCCAAAUGAGUGUAAUUAUGUAGAGAGUAUUCAUGAAUGUUCCAGAAUGCAGCUGAUACUCGCUCGACCGAGCCGCUCGAUCAAGCGAGCUCUCUGAUCCGGUCGAGCGGAUCCUCUGAUGUGCAUGGGAUGCUGUUUUUCGACCUUUCAAGUUCUUGGAAUUAUUUCAUAUUAUUCAUUACCCUAUAUUAAUGUUGUAUUCAGGAGAGCUAU